rnacentral:rRNA from 1 species
GUGUCUGAAGAAGGCCUUCGGGUUGUAAAGGACUUUUGUCAGGGAGGAAAUCCCUAAGGUUAAUACCCUUGGGGGAUGACAGUACCUGAAGAAUAAGCACCGGCUAACUACGUGCCAGCAGCCGCGGUAAUACGUAGGGUGCAAGCGUUAAUCGGAAUUACUGGGCGUAAAGCGUGCGCAGGCGGUUGUGUAAGUCUGAUGUGAAAGCCCCGGGCUCAACCUGGGAACUGCAUUGGAGACUGCACGGCUAGAGUGCGUCAGAGGGGGGUAGAAUUCCGCGUGUAGCAGUGAAAUGCGUAGAGAUGCGGAGGAAUACCGAUGGCGAAGGCAGCCCCCUGGGAUGACACUGACGCUCAUGCACGAAAGCGUGGGGAGCAAACAGGAUUAGAUACCCUGGUAGUCCACGCCCUAAACGAUGUCAACUAGCUGUUGGGGGUUUGAAUCCUUGGUAGCGUAGCUAACG